rnacentral:lncRNA from 1 species
GUGUUUUUUUUUUUUUUUUUUUUUUUUUUUUUUUUUUUUGUCAUCUAAAAUUUUUAUUGAUUAACUUGUUAUGGAACCAAAGUGGAAUACAAACGCCCAAAAGAGGGAAACAAAGCCGGCGGACGACAUGAAUGUCUCCAGAGUCAUAGCCGGAGGAUAACGAGAAAUCCCCAGAAUCUAAACCUUAUGAAAAGGAAACUAAAGAUACUGAAAACACAAAGCUGGAUUAUUUUAACCUAAACCGAAAGUGGACGAAACCUUCAACUAAAAGCAAAAACAACAAGGCAUGAACCUUCCAAAUUAUACACUAGUCUCAAGCAGCAACAAGACCUCUUCUUGUGAAGGACCUAAGGAUGAGAUUUAUCAAGGAUGCCCUCGGCCAACCCGGAGAUAACAUCUAACCUCUCCUAUCAAGAUGAGAGCCAAUCUCUCGAAAACAGAACCAAGGACUUCAUAAUCCGGCAAGCACGACUACUGAAGAAACUCAAAUACACUUCCGGAUGCGACGACGACGACUGAUACGUCCAUUAACGUCUAGAUAGAAGCCUUCAAAACGCGAUCAAAUCAUAACAGAUUUGCAAAGCAAGGACAAGGAGAGAAGCCUAACCUCUCAAAUAACACCGAACUUGAACAAGCAAGACGAUGGAGCGAGACAGUUAUCAACCACAGCGAGCAACACCAAGAAGAAAAACAAGUUGCAAACAAUGAAGACUAACACAACUUCAAUCAAAACGAAGCCUCUGCUUAGGAGGGGAACGAACCAAAAGAAAGCUUAUGGCUGAAACGAUGGGACAAGGAGCAUAAGGAAAGGCAAUGGCUGGACUGAACAGUGAAACUCCAC